UGAAAAAAAUGGCUAUCAUAUAUACUUAAUUUUUUAUAAGCAGUCAAAACAGACAAGGUCAACUUGACUCGGCGCUCCUAAUUUGCAUACACUUAAAAAUUGCUGUUAAUUUACGGCAAAUUUUUAACAGUAUAAUACUGUUAUGUUAAAAAUCAGCACAUUAGUAUUUUUUUUACGGUUGGUGAAAUGACAUAGACAAAAUUUAACAGCACGUUACCGUAUUUAUUGCACGAAGGCAAGAAAACAGCACUUAACAGUAUUUUGGGAAAAGAAAACUGCAGCGAGCACAUGUGGAUUUUCAUCCGUCUACAUCCUAUGAUUUAACCAUGCUAAACCAGUCAACGUGCCAACUGCGUCAAAGCUGGAUUUCUGAUUCAGAUGAAAUACUGAAAUAUAUGAAGUAAACUUUUCUACAAAUUUUGCAUGCACUUGAGCUUGCCUUGGAAAAGUGUGGAAGAGCCAUUGUGGAGUUCUUCAGAAACAAACCCACCAAUGCAGAUGUCAGGGCAGUCAUUUCUCUGCGGCCAGACCUCGAGCUUUCCUUCUGCAUCAUCCAACUUCUCAUGGUUCACUUCUCUGAGACUCAGGAAGGGCUGAUCCUUUUUGCAAAUGCAUCUUCCACUGCAGCUGAUGUAGAAAGGACACUUGAACUACCUGCAACUCCUUGACUGAUACUCCUUGGUGAAAAACCAGGAAGCUGCAUUCAUAAAUGGAUGAUUAGUUGUGAGGGGCAAAUAAUCUGUAAGGGCAUCCAGCCAAGUUUCCUGUCUGGACUUGCUGCUGUGUUUUCGACUUUCUACAUUUUCAAUGUGGAGUACAAAGCUGAGGCUCCAUCCAUGUUGGAAUUUUUUCAGAGGUGCUUGGCAUAAAUCCUGAAAAACAGGGGGAAAAAUCAAAGCGACAGGGAAGGUCGCUCACAAAAAGAAAUCAUGCAACACUCGGGUUGCCAGUCUCCUUAAGAAGCUAAUGGACUUUGAAUGGGACUUCAUAUAAGUGAACCCACUCAUUCAGUAACAUACCACACACAUUACACAUACACUUCACACACAACGAAAACAUGCUUUUAAUGUGAAAGUGGCUUUUGUUUUUCAAAGUUUUAAUAAAGCAUGUUAUGAAGUUACAAUGCAUUGUGUUACAUUUUUAAUGUUUCAAAGGCUAUAUUUGUACAUUGUAUUAAAACAUGUUUUUUUCUUAAGUCCAUUUCUCAGUAUAAUAACAACAUAUUUGUAUUUUACAGUUAAAAAAGUGCACACAAACAUUAAUUAACUGUUAAUGCUUUUGACAGCUUUAUGCUGUAUUUAUAAAAGCAGUAACAAACUCUAAAUUUCAACAACAGCAAGACACUGUUAUUUUAACUGUU